UACGUAGGGGGCGAGCGUUGUCCGGAUUUAUUGGGCGUAAAGAGCUCGUAGGCGGCUCAGAAAGUCGGGUGUGAAACCUCCAGGCUCAACCUGGAGACGCCACCUGAUACUGCUGUGGCUAGAGUCCGGUAGGGGAACACGGAAUUCCCGGUGUAGCGGUGAAAUGCGUAGAGAUCAGGAAGAACAUCGGUGGCGAAGGCGCUCUGCUGGACCAUAACUGACACUCAGGGACGAAAGCUAGGGGAGCGAAUGGG
rnacentral:rRNA from 1 species